GAUGAACGCUGGCGGCGUGCCUAAUACAUGCAAGUCGAGCGAACGGACGAGAAGCUUGCUUUUCUGAUGUUAGCGGCGGACGGGUGAGUAACACGUGGAUAACCUACCUAUAAGACUGGGAUAACUUCGGGAAACCGGAGCUAAUACCGGAUAAUAUUUUGAACCGCAUGGUUCAAAAGUGAAAGACGGUCUUGCUGUCACUUAUAGAUGGAUCCGCGCUGCAUUAGCUAGUUGGUAAGGUAACGGCUUACCAAGGCAACGAUGCAUAGCCGACCUGAGAGAGUGAUCGGCCACACUAGAACUGGAACACGGUCCAGACUCCUACGGGAGGCAGCAGUAGGGAAUCUUCCGCAAUAGGCGAAAGCCUGGCGGAGCAACGCCGCGUGAGUGAUGAAGGUCUUCGGAUCGUAAAACUCUGUUAUUAGGGAAAAACAUAUGUGUAAGUAACUGUGCACAUCUUGACGGUACCUAAUCAGAAAGCCACGGCUAACUACGUG
rnacentral:rRNA from 1 species